AGAGUUUGAUCCUGGCUCAGAAUCAACGCUGGCGGCGUGCCUAACACAUGCAAGUCGAACGCGAGAGGGGCUUCGGCCCCAAUUGAGUGGCGAACGGGUGAGUAACGCGUGGGUGACCUACCUCCGAGUGGGGGAUAACGUCCCGAAAGGGACGCUAAUACCGCAUAACAUCCUGCCUUUGAACAGGUGGAGAUCAAAGCUGGGGAUCGCAAGACCUAGCGCUUGAAGAGGGGCCCGCGUCUGAUUAGCUAGUUGGUGGGGUAAUGGCUCACCAAGGCGACGAUCAGUAUCCGGCCUGAGAGGGCGGACGGACACACUGGGACUGAGACACGGCCCAGACUCCUACGGGAGGCAGCAGUGGGGAAUUGUUCGCAAUGGGCGCAAGCCUGACGACGCAACGCCGCGUGGAGGAUGAAGGUCUUCGGAUUGUAAACUCCUGUUGCCCGGGACGAAAAGCUUUGACCUAACACGUCAAAGUCUGACGGUACCGGGUGAGGAAGCCCCGGCUAACUCUGUGCCAGCAGCCGCGGUAAUACAGAGGGGGCAAGCGUUGUUCGGAAUUACUGGGCGUAAAGGGCGCGUAGGCGGCCUGUUAAGUCGAACGUGAAAUCCCCGGGCUCAACCCGGGAACUGCGUCCGAUACUGGCUGGCUUGAAUCCGGGAGAGGGAUGUGGAAUUCCAGGUGUAGCGGUGAAAUGCGUAGAUAUCUGGAGGAACACCGGUGGCGAAGGCGACAUCCUGGACCGGCAUUGACGCUGAGGCGCGAAAGCUAGGGGAGCAAACGGGAUUAGAUACCCCGG
rnacentral:rRNA from 1 species